rnacentral:rRNA from 1 species
AUUGAACGCUGGCGGCAGGCCUAACACAUGCAAGUCGAACGAGUGGCGGACGGGUGAGUAAUGUCUGGGAAACUGCCUGAUGGAGGGGGAUAACUACUGGAAACGGUAGCUAAUACCGCAUACCAUCGGAUGUGCCCGGAUGGGAUUAGCUAGUAGGUGGGGUAAAGGUUCACCUCGGCGACGAUCCCUAGCGGGUCUGAGCGGAUGACCAGCCACACUGGAACUGAGAAACGGUCCAGACCCCUACGGGAGGCAGCAGUGGGUAAUAUUGCACAAUGGGCGCAAGCCGGAUGCAGCCAUGCCGCGUGUAUGAAGAAGGCCUUCGGGUUGUAAAGUACUUUCAGCGGGGAGGCGUUACCCGCAGAAGAAGCACCGGCUAACUCCGUGCCAGCAGCCGCGGUAUAC